CUGCGUUGCUGCGGGGGCAGAACACGUCUGGACCCUACAUUACAGUAUGUUACAGAGAGCAUAUGAAAGGAUGAAACUGACACUAUUAUUUGUUUUUUUUUCCGUUGUUAGUUACUUUGUUUUUGUACAUUGUUAGUCGAGCUGUUUUUUUUACGACUCUGUCUCUGUCUCGUCCUGCUCCGCCUUCGUCCAGUGCUGCUUUUUGGUUUUUGGUUGAGAGAAAUCUCAAGAACUGAUGCACCAUAAUGCAUGCAGCUUGAGGUUGGGGAGUGAUGAUAACAGCUAUCUUCCGUGGGUCUAAAGUCAAAAUCUGCUGGUGGAUGCGGAGGCCGCAGUCCCUCCACCACCACCCCCUCCUCCACCCUGCAGAAGCCAGCCUGUUAGAAUCAGGUCUGCACCGUGCCCUGCACAUGCUGCAGUACCGUAUUGUGACAGCCUUGCCAUCCAAGAGACGGCUCCUUCACUAGAGGCUCUACUUGAGGAUGCACCAGCAACACCACCACUCCCACUUCUGUUUCCAGUGCCACAAGGACUGGAAGAAAAUCCCCAUGAUAGUGUAGAGAAAACCGGGCCAGUGCAGGAAACUAACCCUGCAGCACAGGCACCUAUCAGUCCACAGAUAACUGAGCAGCAACAAGAAGCAGCCAUUCAGGUGGACCCAGCUGAGGACUAAUUGCUAUGAAGUACUUCAGUAACUACUACUACAACUAAGAACUACAUGUAGCAGUAGUUGAAAAGUGGAGUUCUGGACCGCACUGAAACUCUGUGACCUGAUACUGUUAACAUGUUGCAUUUUAAGGGAUUAUGUUGUCAUGAAAAUAAGCACUAAACACAAAAUGCAGCUGAGGCUCAUGGGAAUGCCACUAAUUUUGCCAUAACUUAAUUGGUUUAUUUGGUCAUGAACCAAAGUACCAGACAGAUUAAAAUUUUAGCCUGAUGAUGGCACCAGAUGAAAAGUCACUAAAUCCCCAAAGUUAUUCAUCCCUUUGGAACCAUGAAACCACCAAUCUGUGUACCAAACUGCAUUUCAGUCCAUCCAACAGUUUCUGAGACAUUUCUGUCCAAACCAAAAAUAUGAACUUGAUCAUUUUCGUUUCAAUCUUUUUUAUGGACAAGUAAGAAAUUAAAUUAAGUAGCAAUACUUAAUUAUGACACUAUGUAUUUAAAACAAUACAAAUUUUCAAUACAGUAGUCAAAUUUUCAACCUGAAGAUGUAGAGAUAUUAGCAUUAUUGCAAAUGUGCUGGUCUGUGUGACUUUUUCUGUACCAGCACUGUGUGCAGGUUGUUAAUAAAGAAAUAAGUUUUCUCAUUUUGUGCACCAAGGACCUUUUUUUUCCUGUAUUAUCAAACAAGGUAUUGAGUAUUAUUUUAUAUACUGGCAUUGUACUGGUAUUGAGGAAGUCUAAAGGUGGAGGUCAGGUGGGGGAUGUUCAGAAACGGAGGGGGUCGCCUGUUUCAAACUCAAACUUGGUGUACACAUCAGCGAGGAUCUCUGUUGGACCACUCCCAUCAACACCACUGUCCUCUGCACCUUCUACAGGAGCACCACUGAGAGCCGUCUGACACCUGGUGGACUUGUGGUCCACUACUCCGCUGGGGACCGCAAGUCUCUCGAGCAGGUGGUGAAGAUGGCAGAAUGCAUCACUGGUUGUCUGCACAGCCUGUUCAGCACACAGUGCCUCAGAAAAGAUCAUCAAAGAUCCCACAUCUGGGCUCAGACUACCAGACGUACACUUUCUUCCCCUCAGCCAUUUCUAUUUUACUAAUUUAUUUAGGUUUUUAGUUAUUUAUUUAUUUUACUUCUGCUUGAAGUUGCUUGCCUGCCUUCUCACAAGUAUUUCACUGCUCAGUCGAACCCGUGUUGAUACUGUGUUUGUGUGAGUAAACCUCUCUGAAUUUGAA